rnacentral:lncRNA from 1 species
GAAGAUGAAGGUUAGUAUAUGCUUCUGAAUGUUUGAUUCUAAGCAUGGCCCUUCUUGAUUGCUGUAUCUCAUAUUGAUUUAAGGUGGGGGAUCACCCGGAUAUCAUGUUUUAGGUUAGGGUUUUUCAAAGUCUUGAUUAUUACAUGUUAAGUUGGCUAUUGUGGUUAAGAAUCGGAGUUUCUUUUCUUCCUCCUUCAUCAUCUUAUGUAAACCCUAAAGGAAUUCACACCAGUUCUUCAAGGAUUACUGGUUCAUUCUAAUCGGGGUUUCCUUUUCUCUUCCAUUGUUUUCUUUAAACCCUAGAAUUGAUUGUUUUUUUGUUGAGGCUUGAUAUUUGUUCAUGAUAUUUUCUAAAUUUGACUCUGUAUGUUUCAAGUUUUGUUUAUGGACAACUGAUUUGCAGCAGCUUUAG